rnacentral:rRNA from 1 species
UGAGGAAUAUUGCGCAAUGGGCGAAAGCCUGACGCAGCAACGCCGCGUGAGCGAUGAAGGCCUUCGGGUCGUAAAGCUCUUUUACCCAGGGAAGAGAACGGACGGUACCUGGGGAAUAAGUCACGGCUAACUACGUG